AUGUGGAGAUGCUCUCUGGGGAAAAUGAGUUUUUCUCUGAAGCAGAAGUGAGUGAGAGGCCAGCUGAAAGGGAGGAAGAGGCAAGAACAGAGGAGGGAGAGGAAAACAGCCCAUCAGAGCGCUGUGAGCAAGCUGCGUGUGAGCCUGCUGAGCCUGCUUACAGAAGUCCAAGGCCGGAGUCAGAGGAGGAAUCACCAGCCAGCCCAGAAAAGCAGGAGGAUAAUGGGAUGGCAGCUGCCCAGUGCACAGCCCAGGAAACAACUGAAACUGAAGAGUCUGCAAGGUGUACCUUCUGCGGUGCUCCUGAAAAACCAAUCCCAACAGUAGCAGAUCUGAAGGAAAAACCACAGGAAAAUGUGAGUCUACUCAUACUGCGUUGGGACGUUGCCAUGUAAGCAGGUUCUGCCCAGGAUCCACAUCACCCUUGAUGUGUGCUGCACCCCACAGCUCUUUUGCUGCAGGAGCUAUAAGAAGGUAUUCAGCGCUGCCAUCCAAGACCUGAUGAAUGAAGAUGAAGCAGAGGACGAGAUGGACUCUGCUUCCCAUGCUGAUGAUUUACAAGCUGAGUUGCGAAAUGGCAUCAAGGAGAAGGUGUUGCAACAGUUAAGUGAGAGAGGACUUAAGAACAACAGGAAAAUCCUUCAGCAGUACUUGAAAAUUGUUUCCCGGAACAGUGUCUCUUUCAGACUCUCAA
rnacentral:lncRNA from 1 species